rnacentral:misc_RNA from 1 species
AAGUCGUAACAAGGUUUCCGUAGGUGAACCUGCGGAAGGAUCAUUAACACGUAUCCAAACGUUAAACCCCCCUGUGAACCUUCACCUGUACUCGUACGUCCGUUAGAAAAAGCAGCAAUCCCUGGUAAAUCAUCGCCGAACAGUUUUCGAUUCAGGGACGUCUGCAAGGAAGUGGCCUGGCACCCCAAGCAGUUAGUGUCUGAAAGUGUCGUUGGAGGCCCACACGGCCGACGACCGGGUCGCUGGGCGCAAGCCCCCCGAAAACAAACCCCCUGCCAAUCGCGGCCGCGAUAAUACGCAGUCGACCAAAAACCGAACAACUGUUAACAAUGGAUAUCUUGGUUCUC